rnacentral:rRNA from 1 species
UAGAGUUGAUCCUGGUCAGAUUGAACGCUGGCGGCAGGCCUAACACAUGCAAGUCGAGCGGUAGAGAGAAGCUUGCUUCUCUUGAGAGCGGCGGACGGGUGAGUAAUGCCUAGGAAUCUGCCUGGUAGUGGGGGAUAACGUUCGGAAACGGACGCUAAUACCGCAUACGUCCUACGGGAGAAAGCAGGGGACCUUCGGGCCUUGCGCUAUCAGAUGAGCCUAGGUCGGAUUAGCUAGUUGGUGAGGUAAUGGCUCACCAAGGCGACGAUCCGUAACUGGUCUGAGAGGAUGAUCAGUCACACUGGAACUGAGACACGGUCCAGACUCCUACGGGAGGCAGCAGUGGGGAAUAUUGGACAAUGGGCGAAAGCCUGAUCCAGCCAUGCCGCGUGUGUGAAGAAGGUCUUCGGAUUGUAAAGCACUUUAAGUUGGGAGGAAGGGUUGUAGAUUAAUACUCUGCAAUUUUGACGUUACCGACAGAAUAAGCACCGGCUAACUCUGUGCCAGCAGCCGCGGUAAUACAGAGGGUGCAAGCGUUAAUCGGAAUUACUGGGCGUAAAGCGCGCGUAGGUGGUUUGUUAAGUUGGAUGUGAAAUCCCCGGGCUCAACCUGGGAACUGCAUUCAAAACUGACUGACUAGAGUAUGGUAGAGGUGGAAUUUCCUGUGUAGCGGUGAAAUGCGUAGAUAUAGGAAGGAACACCAGGGCGAGGACCACAGACUAAUAAGAAA